rnacentral:rRNA from 1 species
AGUGGCGGACGGGUGAGUAACGCGUGAGAAUCUGCCUUGGGGUCGGGGACAACCACUGGAAACGGUGGCUAAUACCGGAUAAGCCGAUUGGUGAAAGAUUUAUUGCCCGAAGAGGAGCUCGCGUCUGAUUAGCUAGUUGGUGAAGUAAGAGCUCACCAAGGCAGCGAUCAGUAGCUGGUCUGAGAGGACGAUCAGCCACACUGGGACUGAGACACGGCCCAGACUCCUACGGGAGGCAGCAGUGGGGAAUUUUCCGCAAUGGGCGAAAGCCUGACGGAGCAAGACCGCGUGAGGGAGGAAGGCUCUUGGGUUGUAAACCUCUUUUCUCAGGGAAGAAGCUCUGACGGUACCUGAGGAAUCAGCCUCGGCUAACUCCGUGCCAGCAGCCGCGGUAAUACGGAGGAGGCAAGCGUUAUCCGGAAUUAUUGGGCGUAAAGCGUCCGCAGGUGGCGAUUCAAGUCUGCUGUCAAAGCACGGGGCUUAACUCCGUAAAGGCAGUGGAAACUGAAUAGCUAGAGUGCCGUAGGGGUAGAGGGAAUUCCCGGUGUAGCGGUGAAAUGCGUAGAGAUCGGGAAGAACAUCGGUGGCGAAAGCGCUCUACUGGACGGCAACUGACACUCAGGGACGAAAGCUAGGGGAGCGAAUGGGAUUAGAUACCCC